rnacentral:rRNA from 1 species
UUAAGCGACUAAGCGUACACGGUGGAUGCCCUGGCAGUCAGAGGCGAUGAAGGACGUGCUAAUCUGCGAAAAGCGCCGGCGAGGUGAUAUGAACCUUUGACCCGGCGAUGUCCGAAUGGGGAAACCCAGUGUGAUUCGUCACACUAUCGUUAACUGAAUACAUAGGUUAACGAGGCGAACCGGGGGAACUGAAACAUCUAAGUACCCCGAGGAAAAGAAAUCAACCGAGAUUCCCCCAGUAGCGGCGAGCGAACGGGGAGCAGCCCAGAGUCUGAAUCAGCUUGUGUGUUAGUGGAAGCGUCUGGAAAGUCGCACGGUACAGGGUGACAGUCCCGUACACGAAAAUGCACAGGUUGUGAACUCGAAGAGUAGGGCGGGACACGUGGUAUCCUGUCUGAAUAUGGGGGGACCAUCCUCCAAGGCUAAAUACUCCUGACUGACCGAUAGUGAACCAGUACCGUGAGGGAAAGGCGAAAAGAACCCCGGCGAGGGGAGUGAAAAAGAACCUGAAACCGUGUACGUACAAGCAGUGGGAGCACCUUCGGGUGUGACUGCGUACCUUUUGUAUAAUGGGUCAGCGACUUAUAUUCUGUAGCAAGGUUAACCGUAUAGGGGAGCCGAAGGGAAACCGAGUCUUAACUGGGCGUUAAGUUGCAGGGUAUAGACCCGAAACCCGGUGAUCUAGCCAUGGGCAGGUUGAAGGUUGGGUAACACUAACUGGAGGACCGAACCGACUAAUGUUGAAAAAUUAGCGGAUGACUUGUGGCUGGGGGUGAAAGGCCAAUCAAACCGGGAGAUAGCUGGUUCUCCCCGAAAGCUAUUUAGGUAGCGCCUCGUGAACUCAUCUUCGGGGGUAGAGCACUGUUUCGGCUAGGGGGCCAUCCCGGCUUACCAACCCGAUGCAAACUACGAAUACCGAAGAAUGUUAUCACGGGAGACACACGGCGGGUGCUAACGUCCGUCGUGAAGAGGGAAACAACCCAGACCGCCAGCUAAGGUCCCAAAGUCAUGGUUAAGUGGGAAACGAUGUGGGAAGGCACAGACAGCCAGGAUGUUGGCUUAGAAGCAGCCAUCAUUUAAAGAAAGCGUAAUAGCUCACUGGUCGAGUCGGCCUGCGCGGAAGAUGUAACGGGGCUAAACCAUGCACCGAAGCUGCGGCAGCGACACUAUGUGUUGUUGGGUAGGGGAGCGUUCUGUAAGCCGUUGAAGGUGGCCUGUGAGGCAUGCUGGAGGUAUCAGAAGUGCGAAUGCUGACAUAAGUAACGAUAAAGCGGGUGAAAAGCCCGCUCGCCGGAAGACCAAGGGUUCCUGUCCAACGUUAAUCGGGGCAGGGUGAGUCGACCCCUAAGGCGAGGCCGAAAGGCGUAGUCGAUGGGAAACAGGUUAAUAUUCCUGUACUUGGUGUUACUGCGAAGGGGGGACGGAGAAGGCUAUGUUAGCCGGGCGACGGUUGUCCCGGUUUAAGCAUGUAGGCGGAACGAUUAGGUAAAUCCGGUCGUUUNCUUACCUUAAAGAACCUGCCUUUGUAGUGCUCACACAGAUUGUCUGAUGAAAAGUAAAUAGCAAGGCGUCUUGCGAUUGAGACUUCAGUGUCCCCUUCGUCUAGAGGCCCAGGACACCGCCCUUUCACGGCGGUAACAGGGGUUCGAAUCCCCUAGGGGACGCCACUUGCUGGUUCGUGAGUGAAAGUCACCUGCCGUCAUAUCUCAAAACUGACUUGCGAGUCACGUUUGAGAUAUUUGCUCUUUAAAAAUCUGGAUCAAGCUGAAAAUUGAAACGACACAUCUUUAAGGUGUGUUCGAGUCUCUCAAAUUUUCGCAAUCAGAAGUGAAACAUCUUCGGGUUGUGAGG